AGAGCGAACGCUGGCGGCAUGCUUAGCACAUGCAAGUCGCACGGGCGGGGGCAACUCUGUCAGUGGCGGACGGGUGAGUAACGCGUAGGUAUCUAUCCUUGGGUGGGGGACAACGGUUGGAAACGACUGCUAAUACCGCAUGAAGACUGAGGUCUAAAGCUUGCAAGAGCGCCUGAGGAGGAGCCUGCGUACGAUUAGCUAGUUGGUGGGGUAAAGGCCUACCAAGGCUGCGAUCGUUAGCUGGUCUGAGAGGAUGAUCAGCCACAUUGGGACUGAGACACGGCCCAAACUCCUACGGGAGGCAGCAGUGGGGAAUAUUGGACAAUGGGCGCAAGCCUGAUCCAGCAAUGCCGCGUGUGUGAAGAAGGUCUUCGGAUUGUAAAGCACUUUCGACGGGGACGAUGAUGACGGUACCCGUAGAAGAAGCCCGGCUAACUUCGUGCCAGCAGCCGC
rnacentral:rRNA from 1 species